UACGUAGGGGGCAAGCGUUGUCCGGAAUCAUUGGGCGUAAAGAGCGUGUAGGCGGUCCGGUCAGUCGGUUGUGAAAGUCAAGGGCUCAACCCUUGAAUGCCGGCCGAUACUGCCGGGCUAGAGUCCGGAAGAGGCGAGUGGAAUUCCUGGUGUAGCGGUGAAAUGCGCAGAUAUCAGGAGGAACACCAAUGGCGAAGGCAGCUCGCUGGGACGGUACUGACGCUGAGACGCGAAAGCGUGGGGAGCAAACAGG
rnacentral:rRNA from 1 species